UUCCUACGGGGCGCAGCAGUCGGGAAUAUUGCGCAAUGGAGGAAACUCUGACGCAGUGACGCCGCGUAUGGGAAGAAGGUUUUCGGAUUGUAAACCAUUGUCGUUAGGGAAGAAGAAGUGACAGUACCUAAGGAGGAAGCUCCGGCUAACUAUGUGCCAGCAGCCGCGGUAAUACGUAGGGGGCAAGCGUUAUCCGGAUUUACUGGGUGUAAAGGGAGCGUAGACGGCGCGGCAAGUCUGAAGUGAAAGGCAGGGGCUUAACCCCUGAACUGCUUUGGAAACUGCCAUGCUAGAGUGCUGGAGAG
rnacentral:rRNA from 1 species